UGGAGUGGGUGACAAAAUAUGUACACAAGACAAGACAAUCGUUUAAUGUAUUUUAGACCACCGGCCCUUAUACAAGCGAGUUACAUACAUUAAGACAUGGUUAAUUGUAAGUGCUCGUUACGACAAA